rnacentral:lncRNA from 1 species
UUCCAAAUCCAGUCAGCCCCCCCCCCCGGUCGGGAGUAACCCUAACCGAGAUCGGGUCCCCAGCGGAUCUGUGUCCUCGUGGCAGCUCAGGAAGGCUCCCUUCCCUGUCUCCGGGAACACCUACAUCUUUUCUCCGUCUCUUCUCUGCUUCUCUCCUGCCGCCCACCACCUCCUCGGCACUUUCUGGAGACCAGCUUUAUCUGGGCUGGCUGAAGCCGGUUUGCAUUACUUGCCACUUUUUUUUCUUUUUUUUUUUUUUUUAAGAAGACAGGAUCUCGCUGUGUAGUUCAAGCUGGACUUGACCUCUCAGCAGUCCUCCUGCCUCUGCCGACUUGCCACAAUUUUUCCAGAUGAGGCAAUUAAAUUUAACUUGGUGUCGUGAAUUAAAAGGGAGAUUCCGCAGUCACCACAAGCCCCAUACAUCUAAACCCGACCUUAUUACCAGGAACCCAACAGCCUUCUCUGUCUUGCUGCCCCUCCAAAUCUCAGAAAUGCUGGAGGAUGGAUCAGUUGGGAAUCACCACCAUCAAGCCAACCCGGGUCUGUAAGGAACAGAGCUCCGCAAAGUCCUCGGGAUGAUGAGAAUGGGGAAUCCGCGACAGAGGACAGGCGCAGGACCUGGGCGGGUCUAGCUAGCUGGGAGCUUCCACAAUAUGGCAGAAUGGAAGCACCUGACC